rnacentral:ncRNA from 1 species
GGAUUCCCGUCGAGAAAGAACUAGCCAUUCACUCGUAGCGAGUCUUGGAGGGCUAAUGGUAACAUUAGCCUUUAAGCGUAGACAGUUAGGUGGCGGGCCGAAAGCCAACUGGUUGAAGGGAUUGAGCUCCAUAAUGUUAGUAAAUCGAGAGGUGCCUUAACUUCGUAUAGGGCAUAAUCUAUUGUUGUACAAGUGAGAAUGAAUCUGUCAUCUAUCGGUGCCCUACUAUA